rnacentral:rRNA from 1 species
UACGUAGGUCCCGAGCGUUGUCCGGAUUUAUUGGGCGUAAAGCGAGCGCAGGCGGUUUGAUAAGCCUGAAGUUAAAGGCUGUGGCUCAACCAUAGUUCGCUUUGGAAACUGUCAAACUUGAGUGCAGAAGGGGAGAGUGGAAUUCCAUGUGUAGCGGUGAAAUGCGUAGAUAUAUGGAGGAACACCGGUGGCGAAAGCGGCUCUCUGGUCUGUAACUGACGCUGAGGCUCGAAAGCGUGGGGAGCGAACAGG